AUGCCACUGCGCCGACAUCGACCCCAACCACUCUCGGCGUUUACCUUGCCGUCGUGUGUCGGGUGCCUCGACAGAAGGCCAGGAAUGCUCCCCGUGGUGCGGCCAACCCUUCUCGGUGCCGCUCAACUUCCCCACCACGCAUCCGCUGGGCUCUCGCCUGGAUGGACGCUCUUCCCGGCAACUCAACCAUGGAGUGUACGUCGCGCCGGGGAGGUCUCCAGCCAGUGGACGUUUUUCUUUUCGGCCUCGAAGGGCUGGGGUAGUGGUGACAUCGGGUAG
rnacentral:rRNA from 1 species